rnacentral:rRNA from 1 species
GAUGAACGCUGGCGGCGUGCCUAAUACAUGCAAGUCGAGCGAAUGGAUUAAGAGCUUGCUCUUAAGAAGUUAGCGGCGGACGGGUGAGUAACACGUGGGUAACCUGCCUAUAAGACUGGGAUAACUCCGGGAAACCGGGGCUAAUACCGGAUAACAUUUUGCACCGCAUGGUGCGAAAUUGAAAGGCGGCUUCGGCUGUCACUUAUAGAUGGACCUGCGGCGCAUUAGCUAGUUGGUGAGGUAACGGCUCACCAAGGCGACGAUGCGUAGCCGACCUGAGAGGGUGAUCGGCCACACUGGGACUGAGACACGGCCCAGACUCCUACGGGAGGCAG